CGGUACGUACUGGCAUUGUUGGUUUCUCCCUUCUGACGAACCAUGAUGUCAUUUAUUUGGUGUUGUGGGGAAUCAGGACUGUUACUUUGAAAAAAUUAGAGUGUUUAAAGCAGGCUCACGCUUGAAUACAUUAGCAUGGAAUAAUGAAAUAGGACGUUUGAUUCUAUUUUGUUGGUUUCUAGGAUCGACGUAAUGAUUAAUAGGGAUAGUUGGGGGCAUUAGUAUUCAAUUGUCAGAGGUGAAAUUCUUGGAUUCAUUGAAGACUAACUACUGCGAAAGCAUUUGCCAAGGAUGUUUUCAUUAAUCAAGAACGAAAGUUAGGGGAUCGAAGACGAUCAGAUACCGUCGUAGUCUUAACCAUAAACUAUGCCGACUAGGGAUCGGAUGAUGUUAAUUUUUUAAUGACUCAUUCGGCGCCUUACG
rnacentral:rRNA from 1 species